AAUGAACGCUGGCGGCGUGGAUAAGACAUGCAAGUCGAACGAAAAAGUAAUAGUUUACUAGAGCUUUUUUAGUGGCGGACGGGUUAGUAACACGUGAGCAACCUGCCUUGAAGUGGGGGAUAGUCCUGGGAAACUGGGUUUAAUACCGCAUGUGAUCUUCGGAUCAAAGAUGGCUUCGGCUAUCGCUUCAAGAUGGGCUCGCGUCCUAUCAGCUAGUUGGUGAGGUAAAGGCUCACCAAGGCGACGACGGGUAGCUGUUCUGAGAGGAAGAUCAGCAACACUGGAACUGAGACACGGUCCAGACACCUACGGGUGGCAGCAGUCGAGAAUCAUUCACAAUGGACGAAAGUCUGAUGGUGCAACGCCGCGUGGAGGAUGAAGGCCCUAGGGUCGUAAACUCCUGUCAUAUAAGAGUAAGGCAUAAUAGUUAAUAUCUAUUAUGUUUGAUAGUA
rnacentral:rRNA from 1 species